rnacentral:rRNA from 1 species
GACGAACGCUGGCGGCAGGCUUAACACAUGCAAGUCUAGCGCCCCGCAAGGGGAGCGGCAGACGGGUGAGUAACGCGUGGGAAUCUACCCUUUUCUACGGAAUAACGCAGGGAAACUUGUGCUAAUACCGUAUACGCCCUUCGGGGGAAAGAUUUAUCGGGAAAGGAUGAGCCCGCGUUGGAUUAGCUAGUUGGUGGGGUAAAGGCCUACCAAGGCGACGAUCCAUAGCUGGUCUGAGAGGAUGAUCAGACACAUUGGGACUGAGACACGGCCCAAACCCCUACGGGAGGCAGCAGUGGGGAAUAUUGGACAAUGGGCGCAAGCCUGAUCCAGCCAUGCCGCGUGAGUGAUGAAGGCCCUAGGGUUGUAAAGCUCUUUCACCGGUGAAGAUAAUGACGGUAACCGGAGAAGAAGCCCCGGCUAACUUCGUGCCAGCCGCCGCCGUAACAC